rnacentral:rRNA from 1 species
CCUACGGGAGGCAGCAGUGAGGAAUAUUGGUCAAUGGACGCAAGUCUGAACCAGCAAUGCCGCGUGCAGGAAGACGGCUCUAUGAGUUGUAAACUGCUUUUGUACGAGGGUAAACGCAGAUACGCGUAUCUGUCUGAAAGUAUCGUACGAAUAAGGAUCGGCUAACUCCGUGCCAGCAGCCGCGGUAAUACGGAGGAUUCAAGCGUUAUCCGGAUUUAUUGGGUUUAAAGGGUGCGUAGGCGGUCGGAUAAGUUAGAGGUGAAAUCCCGAGGCUCAACUUCGGAAUUGCCUCUGAUACUGUUCGGCGAGAGAGUAGUUGCGGUAGGCGGAAUGUAUGGUGUAGCGGUGAAAUGCUUAGAGAUCAUACAGAACACCGAUUGCGAAGGCAGCUUACCAAGCUACUUCUGACGUUGAGGCACGAAAGCGUGGGGAGCAAACAGGAUUAGAUACCCCAGUAGUC